GGGGGAUUCGUCCAACGGUAAGACGGCUGCCUUGCAAGCAGCAAACAGGAGUUCGACCCUCCUAUCCUCCACCA
rnacentral:tRNA from 1 species